UACGGAGGGUGCGAGCGUUGUUCGGAAUCACUGGGCGUAAAGGGCGUGUAGGCGGUCCGCUAAGUCUGAUGUGAAAGCCCGGGGCUCACCCCCGGAAGGGCAUUGGAAACUGGCGGACUCGAGUCCCGGAGAGGAAGGUGGAAUUCCUGGUGUAGCGGUGAAAUGCGUAGAUAUCGGGAAGAACACCGGUGGCGAAGGCGGCUCUCUGGGCCUUACCUGACGCUGAGGAGCGAAAGCGUGGGUAGCGAACAGG
rnacentral:rRNA from 1 species